rnacentral:rRNA from 1 species
AGCGGCGGACGGGUGAGUAACGCGUGGGUAACCUGCCUCAUACAGGGGGGUAACAGUUAGAAAUGACUGCUAAUACCGCAUAAGCGCACAGUACCACAUGGUACGGUGUGAAAAACUCCGGUGGUAUGAGAUGGACCCGCGUCUGAUUAGCUAGUUGGUGGGGUAACGGCCCACCAAGGCGACGAUCAGUAGCCGACCUGAGAGGGUGACCGGCCACAUUGGGACUGAGACACGGCCCAA